rnacentral:rRNA from 1 species
UGACUGCGUACCUUUUGUAUAAUGGGUCAGCGACUUAUAUUCUGUAGCAAGGUUAACCGAAUAGGGGAGCCGGAGGGAAACCGAGUCUUAAUUGGGCGUUAAGUUGCAGGGUAUAGACCCGAAACCCGGUGAUCUAGCCAUGGGCAGGUUGAAGGUUGGGUAACACUAACUGGAGGACCGAACCGACUAAUGUUGAAAAAUUAGCGGAUGACCUGUGGCUGGGGGUGAAAGGCCAAUCAAACCGGGAGAUAGCUGGUUCUCCCCGAAAGCUAUUUAGGUAGCGCCUCGUGAAUUCAUCUCCGGGGGUAGAGCACUGUUUCGGCUAGGGGGCCAUCCCGGCUUACCAACCCGAUGCAAACUGCGAAUACCGGAGAAUGUUAUCACGGGAGACACACGGCGGGUGCUAACGUCCGUCGUGAAGAGGGAAACAACCCAGACCGCCAGCUAAGGUCCCAAAGUCAUGGUUAAGUGGGAAACGAUGUGGGAAGGCCCAGACAGCCAGGAUGUUGGCUUAGAAGCAGCCAUCAUUUAAAGAAAGCGUAAUAGCUCACUGGUCGAGUCGGCCUGCGCGGAAGAUGUAACGGGGCUAAACCAUGCACCGAAGCUGCGGCAGCGACACUGAGGUGUUGUUGGGUAGGGGAGCGUUCUGUAAGCCUGUGAAGGUGUGUCGUGAGGCAUGCUGGAGGUAUCAGAAGUGCGAAUGCUGACAUAAGUAACGAUAAAGCGGGUGAAAAGCCCGCUCGCCGGAAGACCAAGGGUUCCUGUCCAACGUUAAUCGGGGCAGGGUGAGUCGACCCCUAAGGCGAGGCCGAAAGGCGUAGUCGAUGGGAAACGGGUUAAUAUUCCCGUACUUGGUGUUACUGCGAAGGGGGGACGGAGAAGGCUAUGUUGGCCGGGCGACGGUUGUCCCGGUUUAAGCGUGUAGGCUGGUUUUCCAGGCAAAUCCGGAAAAUCAAGGCUGAGGCGUGACGACGAGGCACUACGGUGCUGAAGCAACAAAUGCCCUGCUUCCAGGAAAAGCCUCUAAGCAUCAGGUAACAUCAAAUCGUACCCCAAACCGACACAGGUGGUCAGGUAGAGAAUACCAAGGCGCUUGAGAGAACUCGGGUGAAGGAACUAGGCAAAAUGGUGCCGUAACUUCGGGAGAAGGCACGCUGACACGUAGGUGAAGUGAUUUACUCAUGGAGCUGAAGUCAGUCGAAGAUACCAGCUGGCUGCAACUGUUUAUUAAAAACACAGCACUGUGCAAACACGAAAGUGGACGUAUACGGUGUGACGCCUGCCCGGUGCCGGAAGGUUAAUUGAUGGGGUCAGCGCAAGCGAAGCUCCUGAUCGAAGCCCCGGUAAACGGCGGCCGUAACUAUAACGGUCCUAAGGUAGCGAAAUUCCUUGUCGGGUAAGUUCCGACCUGCACGAAUGGCGUAAUGAUGGCCAGGCUGUCUCCACCCGAGACUCAGUGAAAUUGAACUCGCUGUGAAGAUGCAGUGUACCCGCGGCAAGACGGAAAGACCCCGUGAACCUUUACUAUAGCUUGACACUGAACAUUGAGCCUUGAUGUGUAGGAUAGGUGGGAGGCUUUGAAGUGUGGACGCCAGUCUGCAUGGAGCCGACCUUGAAAUACCACCCUUUAAUGUUUGAUGUUCUAACGUGGACCCGUAAUCCGGGUUGCGGACAGUGUCUGGUGGGUAGUUUGACUGGGGCGGUCUCCUCCUAAAGAGUAACGGAGGAGCACGAAGGUUGGCUAAUCCUGGUCGGACAUCAGGAGGUUAGUGCAAUGGCAUAAGCCAGCUUGACUGCGAGCGUGACGGCGCGAGCAGGUGCGAAAGCAGGUCAUAGUGAUCCGGUGGUUCUGAAUGGAAGGGCCAUCGCUCAACGGAUAAAAGGUACUCCGGGGAUAACAGGCUGAUACCGCCCAAGAGUUCAUAUCGACGGCGGUGUUUGGCACCUCGAUGUCGGCUCAUCACAUCCUGGGGCUGAAGUAGGUCCCAAGGGUAUGGCUGUUCGCCAUUUAAAGUGGUACGCGAGCUGGGUUUAGAACGUCGUGAGACAGUUCGGUCCCUAUCUGCCGUGGGCGCUGGAGAACUGAGGGGGGCUGCUCCUAGUACGAGAGGACCGGAGUGGACGCAUCACUGGUGUUCGGGUUGUCAUGCCAAUGGCACUGCCCGGUAGCUAAAUGCGGAAGAGAUAAGUGCUGAAAGCAUCUAAGCACGAAACUUGCCCCGAGAUGAGUUCU